AUUGAACGCUGGCGGCAGGCUUAACACAUGCAAGUCGAGCGGAGUGAUGGUGCUUGCACUAUCACUUAGCGGCGGACGGGUGAGUAAUGCUUAGGAAUCUGCCAUUUAGUGGGGGACAACAUUCCGAAAGGAAUGCUAAUACCGCAUACGUCCUACGGGAGAAAGCAGGGGAUCUUCGGACCUUGCGCUAAAUGAUGAGCCUAAGUCGGAUUAGCUGGUUGGUGGGGUAAAGGCCUACCAAGGCGACGAUCUGUAGCGGGUCUGAGAGGAUGAGCCGCAAGACGGGGACUGAGACACGGGCCAGACGCCUACGGGAGGCAGCAGUGGGGAAUAUUGGGCAAUGGGCGGAAGCCUGAUCCAGCCAUGCCGAGUGUGUGAAGAGGGCCUUUUGGUUGUAAAGCACUUUAAGCGAGGAGGAGGCUCUCCUAGUUAAUACCUAGGAAGAGUGGACGUUACUCGCAGAAUAAGCACCGGCUAACUCUGUGCCAGCAGCCGCCGUAAAAC
rnacentral:rRNA from 1 species